rnacentral:rRNA from 1 species
UACGUAGGUGGCAAGCGUUGUCCGGAAUUAUUGGGCGUAAAGCGCGCGCAGGCGGCCUUUUAAGUCUGAUGUGAAAGCCCACGGCUCAACCGUGGAAGGUCAUUGGAAACUGAAAGGCUUGAGUACAGAAGAGGAAAGCGGAAUUCCACGUGUAGCGGUGAAAUGCGUAGAGAUGUGGAGGAACACCAGUGGCGAAGGCGGCUUUCUGGUCUGUAACUGACGCUGAGGCGCGAAAGCAUGGGGAGCGAACGGG